rnacentral:rRNA from 1 species
AACCUGCUGUAGGAUCAUUA